rnacentral:rRNA from 1 species
UACGGGGGGAGCAAGCGUUGUUCGGAUUUACUGGGCGUAAAGGGCGCGUAGGCGGUCAGCACAAGUCAGUUGUGAAAUCUCCGGGCUUAACUCGGAAAGGUCAACUGAUACUGUGCGACUAGAGUGCAGAAGGGGCAACUGGAAUUCUCGGUGUAGCGGUGAAAUGCGUAGAUAUCGAGAGGAACACCUGCGGCGAAGGCGGGUUGCUGGGCUGACACUGACGCUGAUGCGCGAAAGCCAGAGGAGCGAACGGG